rnacentral:rRNA from 1 species
CCCUUAGAUGUUCUGGGCUGCACGCGCGCUACACUGAAGCGUUCAACGAGUAUUCACCUUGCCCGGGAGGGUUGGGUAAUCUUUUUAAAACGCUUCGUGAUGGGGAUAGAUUAUUGCAAUUAUUAAUCUUCAACGAGGAAUUCCUAGUAAGCGCGAGUCAUCAGCUCGUGCUGAUUACGUCCCUGCCCUUUGUACACACCGCCCGUCGCUCCUACCGAUUGAAUGGUCCGGUGAAGCGUUCGGACCGUGGCCUUUGGACGGUUCGCCGUCUGUUGGCUGCGGGAAGUUCGUUAAACCUUAUCAUUUAGAGGAAGGAGAAGUCGUAACA